AAACAUACAAGCAAAUAUGAAGUAAUAAAGGAGGAAAAAGACAAUUACAAGUGAUACUUUCUGUAUCUGAGAGUGCUUUAAGUUUCCGAAAAUUUACAUACAAUCAUAGUUUACAUUUGCAUUUAG